UUAUGGUAGGAAUUGAAUACUCUUCAAAAAGAAGGUACUCUAUUACGGGUCCAAUAGGUUAGAGACCACCAAUUGUUUUCCCAUAGACUUACAUUGUAACAUUACGGCGUGUACGGCCUUCCAUACAUCAAAAUACCCGAAGGCCUACAUGUGUCGCAUAUAUGCCACUUUUCUUUAUGUGUGAACCCGGAACAUUUGAACAUUGAACCCCAGUUUAUAAAUAAUGAAAGGCAGAAAUGUGGGGACAAAUGCUCAGGCCCCGUGUUCACAAAACAUUUUUUGAUCUCAGCUGAGUUUGAGUUUGAAAUUUUAAUAUCAGUUUUACCAAAACUUCAACAUUAAAUUUCAAAUGAGAUUGACCAUCAAUACCGAAUAAUCACUUUGAAAUAGUUAUCAACUUAAAAUUUAGUUUUAAACAUGUUAUUUCGAUAUAAAUGAGAAAUUAAGUUUCAUUAUCAAACUCAGUUGAGUCUGAAAAUGUUUUGUGAACAAGGGGCCUGGCCAUAAGUUUAGGGAGUUUUCUUUCAAGGACUUUAUUCUAUGGUAUACAGUAGUUUACUAUUUUUGUAUAUUUUUGAUAAAUAUAGCACUAUUAUAUACACAACUUAUACAAGGCUUAUUUACAUUUGUGUGGUUAAGAUAACUUGUUAUAUGUGUGCAGUGCCAGCUCAGCUUGCAGUACCGGCUCAGCUGGCCACAUUAGGCAGCACAAUAAUUUUACUUAUAACCAUCUUUAUUUCAUGCUAAUGUCACACUCUAUGCAUAAGCAAGAUCUUUUAGGUGUGGCGUGCUAGAAAAGUCAGGCUUGGGGUCAGUGAGACCCUUUGAAUAGUGUAAAUCUGUUUGUAAUUUGUACCUAUACUGGCGUGAUGCAAAACGACUGUGUCUUGCUUGUGAUAUAUACCUGGUAGUUUUACGCAACUUGUCAUAGUACUCUCUUCUUAAAAGGUGUCUGAUAACAGAAGAGCUAUGUGACAGUUUUACACCAUUUACCCUAGCUUUAAGGAUGACAGUGUCAGCAAGCCCAUGAUUUAGUCUUAGAAUCUAGCCAUGGAUACGGCCAUGGCAGUUGCGGAGAAAUGUUACAUUUUUGGGCAAGCAUGCAUCAUAGGAUCUGUUCACUGCUUCACAUUUCUGUGUAGAUGUUAAAAAUUUAGUUUUUUCUAUGCUUUCUGGACCAAGGAGAAUUUCAAUACAUUUUCUGAGUAAAGUCUCAUCAUCAUCAGUCAUUUUAAGCCCAAUAUUGUCUGGCAUAUAGUUUUUUGCUUUUCUGUAGUUGCCAGCAGAACAAACCAGGCUGUAUUUAGAACACGAGGUACCACUGUAACCUUUGAAACAUAGUACUAUUGCUGAAAUUAUAAUAGGCAUUUUGUGUUUUAUUACUUUCAAAUUGCUUUUGUACUUCUUAUGUUCACUUGAUAGCUCUGAAACACACCUAGAUUUAAUAGAUAAAGCAAAUCUGUUUUUAGCUCAACUAUUCGAAGAAUAAGUAGAGCUAUCCUACUCACCACGGCGUCGGCGUCACACCUUGGUUAAGUUUUUCGUACCAGUCCACAUUUUGACAAAGUCUUUGAGAUAAAGCUUUGAAACUUUCAACACUUGUUUACCAUCGCCAUGACCAGUUAUAGGCAAGAGCACAUAACUCCAUCAAGGAUUUUGGCUGAAUUAUGGCCCCUUUUGACUUAGAAAUCAUGGUUAAGUUUUUCGUACCAGUUUAUAUUUUGACAAAGUCUUUUGAGAUAAAGCUUUGAAACUUUCAACACUUGUUUACUAUAACCAUGUCCAGCCAUAGACAAGAGUACAUAACUCCAUCAAGGAUUUUGGCUGAAUUAUGGCCCCUUUUGACUUAAAAAUCUCGGUUAAGUUUUUCGUACCAGUUUAUAUUUUGGCAAAGUCUUUUUAGAUAAAGCUUUAAAACUUUCAACACUUGUUUAUCAUCACCAUGACCUGUUAUAGGCAAGAGAACAUAACUCCAUCCAGGAUUUUGGCUGAAUUAUGGCCCUUAUUGACUUAGAAAUCUUGGUUAAUUUUUUCGUACCAAUUCAUAUUUUGACAAGUCUUUUGAGAUAAAGCUUUGAAACUUUCAACACCUGUUUACCAUCACCAUUUCUAGUUAUAGGCAAGAGUACAUAACUCCAUCGAGGAUUUUGGCUGAAUUAUGGCCCCUUUUGACUUAGAAAUCUGGGUUAAGUUUUUCGUACCAGUUAAUAUUUUUUGUAAAGUGUUUGACGUAUGGCUUUGAAACUUUUAUCACUUGUUCAGUAUAAUAGUCUCGAUCUGUAGGAAAGAGUACAUAACUCUGUCAUCUAUUUUGGCUAAAUUAUGGCCCUUUUUGGACUUGAAAAUUUGUUCUGUUUUCAUACAAGUCCACGUUUUGUCAAAACUAUUUGACAUAUUGCUUUUAAACUUUGAACACUUGUUUAUCAUCAGGAUUUCAAUCUGUAGGCAAGAGUACAUAACUCUGACAACUAUUUUGGCUGAAUUAUGGCCCUUUUUGGACUUUGAAAUUGGUUCACACAUUGCCAUUUAGUGCAAGACUUAUCGAAAUCUACAAAUACUGGAACAUUGUCUAAUCUUUUUUUUCUUUUGUCUGAAUAUCUUUGGUAAUAUUUUGACCCUAUUCUUCAAUCAAUUCUUCGAAUAGUCGAGCGUGCUGUCAGCAGACAGCUCUUGUUUAGAUUAGACUUCUGUUUACCACAGAACAUUUUGUCACUAAAUGGUGCCUGGUUAAUUUGCCUUUUUAGAGAAUUUGCUAGGUGCCUCACAUCUUUCAAGUGCACAGUUUUAGUUCCUUGACCUUUGUCUACACCAGAAUGACUUUUAGAAUCUCCAUCACCUGUGUGGUGUGAAAUCUGAAGAUCUUUAGUAAUAUCCUUAGAUACCAUUUCAUUCCAUUUGGCUUCAUCACCAGUGGAUUGGGCUUCAUCUAAAUUUACUGUACAGUGACCUGGAUGAUUGGGGCACUUUACACCCUUGAUUUCUUAACUUAGAAGCAGCUGUACAUGUUUUAACACCAACAAAUGCACCAAUAAUUGACUUUCUAUGUGUAUUAUUUUCACAAAUAGCUGUUGCGGCAAUGGUGCCAGCUUGAAAGGGCGUACUUUCAGAGUUAAACAAGGGGUUAUUAUAGCAGGAGUCCCCUUCAGUUAGGACUUCUGAGCUAUUUGAAUUACCACAUUUCGCAUUUUCCUGUUUAAGUGACUGUCUUUCUUCAUGCAUAUUCUGUUUGUUAAGGGUUUCAGUGUUUUCACCUACUUUAUUUGACAAUCUUUGCAUACCAGUAACACAGGGUGGAAUUAUCUCAGCAUGGGCCAGUAAUCUAGCUGCACCUGUAUUACCUAUUGGGGUUGUCAUUACACCUAACUGGAAGCCAACAUUGAUUUUAGUAGCUUUUCUACCCCUUCCUUGUUUUUCCACCUCAUCAUAAAGCUUAUAAUAUUUACUAAUAUAGCUACAUUUUGAGCAUUUAAGCUGCUCUUCCCAAGCUAAUCCCCAUUUACGAGAAGAUUCCGCAUCAAAAUUCAGAUUGCCAUCACAUAUGUUUUCACCGGUGCAAUGCCUUUUUAUUUCAGAGUUAAACAUUUCCUGUAGCAGCUUAGGACAGUACAGUUUGUGAGUUAACAGAUCAGGGUGAGCCUCAGUGUUUCCUGGUGUACUGUACUCAUCCGCCAACUUAGGACAGCUGUUUAGUGACCACAGAAGAGGAUUCCUGUGUACGACAGUACUGAACCUGAGGAUUUUCACACAUUUUUGAGCAGAGACCAGAGAAAUUUAUGAGGCAGAGCUAUCAGCAGUAUGCCAGAGACACAGCAAGAAGUACACAUUGUUUUGCACAGAUUUGUGUUCCACAUGUAUGGCCUUAGUGGAAUUGUCAUAGUAUAAGGUAAGAAUACCAGGACCACAUUCCUGUGCGGAAGGAUUAAAAAAGUACUCCGGACCAGAUGGCCUUGACAGAUGUCUAUGAAGAGGUGUACAGUGAUAGGACAGCAAAGACAAUAAAAUGAUACUGGGCAGACACCAGAAGAAACAACUAGCGAAUACAAAUAUUAGGAUAUAUGGCCUAGAGCAAAAUGAGGUUUUUUUAAUGAUGCCAAAGUUUGAAAGCAUUAAAAAACUAGGUUUCUUUUUGAAUUACAUUUCUUGUAUUAUUUUCAUUCCAAGAGAUUUGACCCUUUCUGUGUUGAAAAUUUCUGAGGAAUCGGGCAACUAGUUUCGAAGAUAUGACACAUUCAAAAAUAAUAUCAAACGACAUUUGUUAAUGUUACAGUCCAGUGCUUAAAAUAAUUAUAUUAUUACAGUUUUUACAUAUCAUGAUGUCAGUUAUUUUAUUAUUAUUUUGUUUUGCUGUUGUUCAUUUUUUCUCUUUAAUAGUCUUAUAAUUAAGUGAGUGUCUGUCGGAUGGAUGGAUGGGAAGCUUCUAAUCGUAUUUAAUACAUUGAUCAUUGAUAUAUAUAUAUAUAUAUAUAUAUAUAUAUAUAUAUAUAUAUAUUUUUUUUUUUAAAUAUGAUUUUGUGAAAUUUAUCGUAAAUGUUUGUAUACAUGUGUAUUGUUGUUGUUGUUAACUGAAGGCCAUACUGAAAAUAAGUUUACGUUUCAUUUUCAUGUUAUGUACACUUUGCAUGUAACCUUCAUUAAAUAAAGAUUUUAUUAUUAUUAUUAUUACUCUAAAGUUGAAGAAGAUUGUGAAAAAUUGCCAUUUUAGCGUGACAUGCAUUUUUUGAUUUAUUAGAAAUGUGUGUCCAAAGCAAAUUUUAGUAUAUAUGGUUCUUUUUUGGUGUUUAUACUAUAGCACAGCCAUCUACUUUCAUCAGGAAACAGUUCGCUUUAAAGAAAAAACAGCAUUUCCUGGUUUGAUGGUUUUGAAAAAAUAUACUCCAAUGAAGCCAAAAUAGCAUUUUUAUACCUUUAUUAUAUGCUGUAUGCAAUAAACAAUACAGGAAGCUUUAAAUAUAUGUAACCUGACUUUUUCAUUAGUCAAUAGACACCACUUUAAUACCAUAUCCUAACCUUCUUCAUAGUACUGCAUGCAUGCUAGUGGCUAGUAUCCUUUGAUGCACCAAAUUUGUCCCAACAGUCACGGUUUAACUGUGUUCCUCUUCUUUGUUCACUGUUUUACAACAAUAUCAGAUUUCUAAGAUUAAUCUGUCUUAACAUAUUCCUUAACCCUUAUGUAGAUAUAUGAGCCGUGCCAUGAGAAAACAAACAUAGUGGGUUUGCGACCAGCAUGGAUCCAGACCAGCCUGCGCAUCCGCGCAGUCUGGUCAGGAUCCAUGCUAUUCGCUAAUAGUUUCUCCAAUUCCAAUAGGCUUUAAAAGCGAACAGCAUGGAGCCUGACCAGACUGCGCGGAUGCGCAGGCUGGUCUGGAUCCAUGCUGGUCGCAUACCAACUAUGUUGGUUUUCUCAUGGCACGGCUCAUAUGUACUUCAGGCCAGCUAAUGUGCUGAUACAGAUCACCCAUACAUCACACUGAAUCCUUGUCCCAGUUUCUGUCCCAACAGUCACAGCUGUAUUAGCUGCAUAUAUUCCUGUUCCAGUAUUUCUCUAAAUAUAAUCGUGCAUAUUUUUAUGUUCAUUUCUUAUCUAUGGACAUUUUCUAACAAGACAAACAUAAAUACCAUGAAAGCAAUUCUCAAAAAUGUUUUGUUACUAUUUUAAGAAGUCUAAAAAUUCCAAAAAUUGUACAUGGAUGACAGAUUUCCAGAAAUUUCACAUUUUCCAGCAAAAGGUAGCAAUAACUUGUUGAAACAUGCAAAUUUAAAAUACUGACCAGUUUACAGUGUUGAGUACAUCUCAUUGUCCUGGCAAUAGAAACUGUGACUGUUGGGACACUUUCAUACCUAGAACUGUGUGUUGUAACAAAAUUAAAUUCCUAGGAUAAAAUGGAUAACUAUCAGUAGAAUUCAAUUUUUGGCCUCGGAAAGCGAAGAUUUCAGAAACUGGGUGUGAAAUUGAAAAGCAGUCUAAAGACAAGACAGCUGCAGAGGGACAAAUAAGAUGUAGAUCUAACAAAGAUCUAUAUAUACUAAAAUUUGUUUUGGGCACACAUUUCUAAUUAAUUAAAAAAUGCAUAUUGCGCUAAAAUGGCAAUUUUUCACAAUCUUCUUCAACUUUCUAGUGUCAUAUCUUCGAAAUAAGUUGCAAGAUUCCUCUGAAAUUUUCAACACAGAAAGGAUCAAACCUCUUGAAAUGUAAUUGAAAAAGAAACCUUGCUUUCAAACACUCAUCCUGGCUUCAUCAAAAAAAGGAUUAUUUUGCUCUAGACCAUACAUACCUAAUUAAAGCCUGACAAAAGCAUCCAGUACUGAAACACAUCAGUCAGUAAGAUGAAUCGGAGUGAAAUAUAUAACAGGAUAGCAGCUGGGAGAUUUACCCUUCUAAAUAGCAACACCAGUGAUAGUGGUACAUACUGUCCACACAGGGAUCUGUGGUUAAGGACUACAUUUUCAUGCGGAAGGAUUAAAAAAGAACACCAGACUGGCUGCCUCGACAAAUGUGUAUUUGAAAUUUGAGCAGUACUGGAACUUCGAUGUGUAUCAAAAAAAAAAGUUAAUUGUUGAUGGUAGUGUUUUUCAUGGCAAGAUUCAAUGUCAGUGUUAAUCUUUAGAAAUACAGAGCUGCCAAUCAUGUAAUUUUCUCCAUGUCCAAAUGUGCUUGAUCUUCAAUACAACAAAGAAAUUGUACCGGCCGACACUUCCAUGCAAAAUAGUUAAUGUUGAAUAUCUCGGCAACUAAAGGACUUACAGCAGUGAAAGUUACAGCACACUAUAUAGUAGCUGAUAACAAUAAAAAAUCUGUAGCUUAAAAGAUUUUAUAAGGGUUUAUGAAAAUUUUAUUUUAUUGAUUUUUGAGUCUGCUUAACGCUGAAAGCAUUUGAUGAGUCCUUGCCAUCGCCCGAUUUCUCAUUCUCAUUAAAUGGCCUCACAACACAGCGAAUAGAUGUAGUUCCAUUAGCACGGGUACUAAACAGUGCCUGCGGUACUGACUGUGCCGACGAGGAUUGAAGGCACUUCGCUUCCUGUACCGCAGGUA